rnacentral:tRNA from 1 species
GCCUGUGAAGACAAAGGGUAGCGUCACUUGUCUGUCGAACGAGAGAAAGUGGGUUCGAGUCCCAUCACAGGCG